rnacentral:rRNA from 1 species
AUUGAACGCUGGCGGAAUGCUUUACACAUGCAAGUCGGACGGUAGAGGGGGGCAACCCCCUCGAGAGUGGCGAACGGGUGAGUAAUAUAUCGGAACGUGCCCAGUCGUGGGGGAUAACGUAGCGAAAGUUACGCUAAUACCGCAUACGAUCUACGGAUGAAAGCGGGGGACUCGCAAGAGCCUCGCGCGAUUGGAGCGGCCGAUAUCAGAUUAGGUAGUUGGUGGGGUAAAGGCUCACCAAGCCAACGAUCUGUAGCUGGUCUGAGAGGACGACCAGCCACACUGGGACUGAGACACGGCCCAGACUCCUACGGGAGGCAGCAGUGGGGAAUUUUGGACAAUGGGCGCAAGCCUGAUCCAGCAAUGCCGCGUGCAGGAAG